rnacentral:tRNA from 1 species
GGCUUCAUAGCUCAGUUGGUAGAGNAUCGCACCGGCAUCGCGGAGGUCAUGGGUUCGAUUCCCGUUGAAGCUU